CCCACCACUGUACCUGUCUGUUCUUUGCUGGCUGGCGCAAGCCAGUGGUGAGCGCAGACUGGUGAGCCCAGCUGAGGAAACAGCU
rnacentral:snoRNA from 1 species